rnacentral:lncRNA from 1 species
CUCAGGGUCCUCCCUCCAGGGGAAAACAGAAAAACAAGAAGGCAAGAGCUUGUACGACAGACAUCUGGACACCAAAAAGAAGACUGUUCACUCCGCAAUUGCUUCAUGCCUGGAAAUUGCUCUGGAACUGUCUGAUUAAGGUAUUGGAACAAAUUUUUGAUAGAUUUUUCUUUUUUUGAAUAAUCAAUGAUCUUUCUCCAUCUAUAUCUUGUGCCAUGA